GAGACUGCGAAUGGCUCAUUAUAUCAGUUAUAGUUUAUUUGAUAGUCCCUCACUACUUGGAUAACCGUAGUAAUUCUAGAGCUAAUACAUGCGUCGAUACCCUUCUGGGGUAGUAUUUAUUAGAUGGAAACCAACCCCUUCGGGGUGAUGUGGUGAUUCAUAAUAAGUUUGCGGAUCGCCGGUGGCGAUGGAUCAUUCAAGUUUCUGCCCUAUCAGCUUUGGACGGUAAGGUAUUGGCUUACCGUGGCUCUAACGGGUAACGGGGAAUUAGGGUUCGAUUCCGGAGAGGGGGCCUGAGAGAUGGCCACCACAUCCAAGGAAGGCAGCAGGCGCGUAAAUUACCCAAUCUUGACACAAGGAGGUAGUGACAAUAAAUAACAAUGCCGGGCCUUUAUAGGUCUGGCAAUUGGAAUGAGAACAAUCUAAACCCCUUAUCGAGGAUCAAUUGGAGGGCAAGUCUGGUGCCAGCAGCCGCGGUAAUUCCAGCUCCAAUAGCGUAUAUUAAAGUAGUUGCAGUUAACAAGCUCGUAGUUGGAUAUGUGGCGGUUCCUGCGGUCCGAUCUCGGUACUUUCGGGGACUGCCAUCCUUGGGGUGGAUCCUGUGUAGCAUUAGGGUGUCGUGCAGGGGAUGUCCCAUCGUUACUGUGAAAACAUUAAAGUGUCCAAGCCAGGCUAUGCCCGUUGAUAUAUUANCAUGGAAUAAUGAGAUNGACCUUGGUAU
rnacentral:rRNA from 1 species